GGAACCAAUUCGGUUACUCCCGUCUCUCCAACACUCAAUACGUGCAAUAAGAAGGGAUUAACAAAUAUUGAAACCGGCAAAAACGCAACAGUUACACCGAACUGCUUUAAAUAAUAUAAGGUUAUAAUCCAUUUAAACCUAUGCCCCGACCAAGAAUAUUCUGUGCUAAGCCAGCAUGAUAACACCAGAUGACCUCACACAUCAACCAGUGUUAUUCUUAAACAAUUGAACUUCAAGGUCAUUCAACAUCCACCCUAUUCACCCGGUUUGGCACCUUGGAACUUACACUCCUUCCCAGAUCUUGUAAGAGCUCUUAAAGGCACCAAUUUCAAGUAAGACGAAGAUGUCAAAGAAGCAAUGAAGUAUUAGAUAAAAGGGAGAACUACUUCAUAUUUCAGUGACGGUAAGAAGAAACU